rnacentral:rRNA from 1 species
CCUACGGGGGGCAGCAGUGAGGAAUAUUGGUCAAUGGGCGAGAGCCUGAACCAGCCAAGUCGCGUGAGGGAAGACGGUCCUAUGGAUUGUAAACCUCUUUUGUCGGGGAGCAAUAAGACCACGUGUGGUCGAAAGUGAGAGUACCCGAAGAAAAAGCAUCGGCUAACUCCGUGCCAGCAGCCGCGGUAAUACGGAGGAUGCGAGCGUUAUCCGGAUUUAUUGGGUUUAAAGGGUGCGUAGGCGGAAUGGAAAGUCAGCGGUAAAAUUUCCGGGCUCAACCCGGUCGUGCCGUUGAAACUGUCGUUCUUGAGUGAGCGAGAAGUAUGCGGAAUGCGUGGUGUAGCGGUGAAAUGCAUAGAUAUCACGCAGAACUCCGAUUGCGAAGGCAGCAUACCGGCGCUCAACUGACGCUGAAGCACGAAGGCGUGGGGAUCAAACAGGA